UCAUCAACCAUACAAGACCUCAAAAAAAACUAUUGCAAAACAAUUACAAAUUCAAAUGCUUGCUUCUGCAAUUAUCAUAGAUCAACAAAGAAAAGUACAAUUCAAAACAAGCACAAGAAUUACCAAAAAGUGUGUAGCUAUGUCCUCUUCUUGCGAAAUAUAUACACGUCGGUCUCUUCGUACGCGUAUUCCGGAUGCAAAUCCUCGUGCGGGACCUUCUCGAUGUCAAAAACCUCUCUGGACAUUUCCCAAAACUUCUUAUCCGCCUCCGGCGACCUCAAUUGAUAUCCUAAGAGAACGACACCGUCGUCCGCCACCAGCGCUUCCAUCGCACCCACGAGCUGCCCCACAGACUCCUCAAUAUAAACCACAUCGGUGGCAAUCACGACAUCGAACGGCGGAUUCAACGCCUUGAUCUGAUCCUGAUUGUUCCAGUAGAGGAUGGAGGUCUUCAGCAUCUUUCCUAGGGUUUGCUUGUUCCGCUUCAGAUUAUGCUUCAGAGCGGUCAUGACCGGCGCAAUAUCGGUGAGGACGAGGUCAGUAAGACCGAGGAGGUAGAAUGCCAUGCCCGCGGCACCGCAGCCAACGCCGAGCUCGAUUGCGCGGCGGGGCUUGGAGCGGAAGUCGAGGAGGGCGG
rnacentral:misc_RNA from 1 species